UACGGAGGGGGCUAGCGUUGUUCGGAAUUAUUGGGCGUAAAGGGCGCGUAGGCGGCCUGGCAAGUGGAAGGUGAAAUCCCUCGGCUUAACCGAGGAACUGCCCUCCAAACUGCUUGGCUUGAGUCCGUGAGAGGUGAGUGGAAUUCCCAGUGUAGCGGUGAAAUGCGUAGAUAUUGGGAGGAACACCAGUGGCGAAGGCGGCUCACUGGACCGGAACUGACGCUGAGGCGCGAAAGCGUGGGGAGCAAACGGG
rnacentral:rRNA from 1 species